ensembl:misc_RNA Metazoa_SRP Metazoan signal recognition particle RNA
GCCAAGUGUGAUGACAUGCGCCUGUGGGCUCAGCUACUCGGGAGGCUGAGGCAGGAGCAUCACUUGAGUUCAGGGGCUCCGAUUGUUGAGUGAUGCCUCUCAGGUGUCCACACUAAGUUCAAUGUCAAACCAGUGACCUCCUGGGAGGGGUACUAGCUUAGGUUAGAAAUGGAGCAGGUCAGAAUUCCUAUGCUGAUCAGUAGUGGGAUUGCGCCUGUGAGUUGCACUCCAGACUAGGCAACAUUGUGAGACACUGUCUUU